rnacentral:rRNA from 1 species
UGCCUACGGGAGGCAGCAGUGGGGAAUAUUGGGCAAUGGGCGCAAGCCUGACCCAGCAACGCCGCGUGAAGGAAGAAGGCUUUCGGGUUGUAAACUUCUUUUAUGAGGGACGAAAGAAAUGACGGUACCUCAUGAAUAAGCCACGGCUAACUACGUGCCAGCAGCCGCGGUAAUACGUAGGUGGCAAGCGUUGUCCGGAUUUACUGGGUGUAAAGGGCGUGCAGCCGGGCUGACAAGUCAGAUGUGAAAUCCCGCGGCUCAACCGCGGAACUGCAUUUGAAACU